GAUGAAGAACGCAGCGAAAUGCGACAAGUAAUGUGAAUUGCAGAAUUCCGUGAAUCAUCGAAUCUUUGAACGCACAUUGCGCCCUCUGGUAUUCUGGAGGGCAUGCCUGUUUGAGUGUCAUUAAUAUAUCAACCUCUUCAGCUUAUGCUUGUUGAGUGUUGGAUGGUGGGGGUUUGCUGGUGUCUUAUGAAGUCAGCUCCUCUGAAAUGCAUUAGCGGAACAAUUUGUUGACCGUUCAUUGGUGUGAUAAAAAUAUCUACGCUAUUGACGUCAGUCAGUUCAGCUUCUAACAGUCCAUUGACUUGGACAAAUUUUUCAUUAAUGUGACCUCAAAUCAGGUAGGACUACCCGCUGAACUUAAGCAUAUCAAUAAGCGGAGGA
rnacentral:misc_RNA from 1 species